rnacentral:rRNA from 1 species
AUGAAGAAGGACUUUGGAGGCCUAGGAAUUCCAAACCUCCAGGAGGUGAAUACUUGUCUACUAGGCUCCUGGGUCAAAAGAUACUAUGAGGAAGGAGUAAAACCUUGGAAAUCUAUUAUAGAGCAAAAAUAUUUGAGUGGGAAACCUAAUCUGUUUGCUGUCAACCCCACCCCAAACUCUUCCAGGUGUUGGAAGGGUUUUCAAUCCAUCAUCCAAAACCUAAAGUUUGGCUUUAGAUGGAAAGUUGGCAAUGGAUAGAGGAUCAGAUUCUGGGAAGAUACCUGGUUUGGGACAUCACCACUGGCUACCCAGUUCUGGCAUGUUUACAUGGUAUGCAAUGAGCAAACUAAAACUAUUAAGGUGGUUUGGGAUGGAGAAACCCUCAAAUUAACCUUCAGGAGGAAUUUUGAUAGCAUGCUCAUGGAGCAAUGGUACCAGCUAUUUGAGAUUGCUGGGAGCAUUACCUUCAGUGAAGACAUAGACUCACUGAUUUGGCAGCUAGAGAGUAAAGGGGUUUACUCUUCGAGCUCACUGUACCAUGUGAUAAAACUUUAG